GGAUUUAGUGCUUUUUACGUGGCACAAGCACAGGCGAGGUCAGUUUUGGCAAGGUUUUUACAGCUGGAUGCCCUUCCAAACACCAACCACUUUACAGUGUGGAUUGGGUGCUUUUAAGUGGCACCUGCUCUGUCAGGGUCACCAAGUAUUGCAAGACAAAAGA